GGGUUGUGAGGUUAAGCGACUAAGCGUACACGGUGGAUGCCCUGGCAGUCAGAGGCGAUGAAGGACGUGCUAAUCUGCGAUAAGCGUCGGUAAGGUGAUAUGAACCGUUAUAACCGGCGAUUUCCGAAUGGGGAAACCCAGUGUGUUUCGACACACUAUCAUUAACUGAAUCCAUAGGUUAAUGAGGCGAACCGGGGGAACUGAAACAUCUAAGUACCCCGAGGAAAAGAAAUCAACCGAGAUUCCCCCAGUAGCGGCGAGCGAACGGGGAGCAGCCCAGAGCCUGAAUCAGUGUGUGUGUUAGUGGAAGCGUCUGGAAAGGCGCGCGAUACAGGGUGACAGCCCCGUACACAAAAAUGCACAUGCUGUGAGCUCGAUGAGUAGGGCGGGACACGUGGUAUCCUGUCUGAAUAUGGGGGGACCAUCCUCCAAGGCUAAAUACUCCUGACUGACCGAUAGUGAACCAGUACCGUGAGGGAAAGGCGAAAAGAACCCCGGCGAGGGGAGUGAAAAAGAACCUGAAACCGUGUACGUACAAGCAGUGGGAGCACGCUUAGGCGUGUGACUGCGUACCUUUUGUAUAAUGGGUCAGCGACUUAUAUUCUGUAGCAAGGUUAACCGAAUAGGGGAGCCGAAGGGAAACCGAGUCUUAACUGGGCGUUAAGUUGCAGGGUAUAGACCCGAAACCCGGUGAUCUAGCCAUGGGCAGGUUGAAGGUUGGGUAACACUAACUGGAGGACCGAACCGACUAAUGUUGAAAAAUUAGCGGAUGACUUGUGGCUGGGGGUGAAAGGCCAAUCAAACCGGGAGAUAGCUGGUUCUCCCCGANGUCAUCCCGACUUACCAACCCGAUGCAAACUGCGAAUACCGGAGAAUGUUAUCACGGGAGACACACGGCGGGUGCUAACGUCCGUCGUGAAGAGGGAAACAACCCAGACCGCCAGCUAAGGUCCCAAAGUCAUGGUUAAGUGGGAAACGAUGUGGGAAGGCCCAGACAGCCAGGAUGUUGGCUUAGAAGCAGCCAUCAUUUAAAGAAAGCGUAAUAGCUCACUGGUCGAGUCGGCCUGCGCGGAAGAUGGAACGGGGCUAAACCAUGCACCGAAGCUGCGGCAGCGACGCUUAUGCGUUGUUGGGUAGGGGAGCGUUCUGUAAGCCUGCGAAGGUGUGCUGUGAGGCAUGCUGGAGGUAUCAGAAGUGCGAAUGCUGACAUAAGUAACGAUAAAGCGGGUGAAAAGCCCGCUCGCCGGAAGACCAAGGGU
rnacentral:rRNA from 1 species